CGGGUUCGGCCGCCUCCGCCGGCCGACCGGCGCGACGGGUGAGUAACGACGUAUCGACACCGUCGCCGCGGACGGGGGACAACCCGGGGAAACCCGGACUAAUACCCGGCGGGGCCUGGAGGGGGCAUCCCCUCCCGGCUGAAGGAGGCGACUCCGCCGCGGGAUGGGCAUGCGGCGCAUUAGCUUGUUGGCGGGGCAACGGCCCACCAAGGCGACGAUGCGUAGGGGUUCUGAGAGGAAGGUCCCCCACACUGGAACUGAGACACGGUCCAGACUCCUACGGAAGGCAGCAG
rnacentral:rRNA from 1 species